CAGCAGUAGGGAAUCUUCCACAAUGGGCGAAAGCCUGAUGGAGCAACGCCGCGUGUGUGAUGAAGGCUUUCGGGUCGUAAAGCACUGUUGUAUGGGAAGAACAGCUAGAAUAGGAAAUGAUUUUAGUUUGACGGUACCAUACCAGAAAGGGACGGCUAAAUACGUGCCAG
rnacentral:rRNA from 1 species